AAAUUGGAGAGUUUGAUCAUGGCUCAGAUUGAACGCUGGCGGCAGGCCUAACACAUGCAAGUCGAACGGUAACAGGAAGAAGCUUGCUUCUUUGCUGACGAGUGGCGGACGGGUGAGUAAUGUCUGGGAAACUGCCUGAUGGAGGGGGAUAACUACUGGAAACGGUAGCUAAUACCGCAUAACGUCGCAAGACCAAAGAGGGGGACCUUCGGGCCUCUUGCCAUCGGAUGUGCCCAGAUGGGAUUAGCUAGUAGGUGGGGUAACGGCUCACCUAGGCGACGAUCCCUAGCUGGUCUGAGAGGAUGACCAGCCACACUGGAACUGAGACACGGUCCAGACUCCUACGGGAGGCAGCAGUGGGGAAUAUUGCACAAUGGGCGCAAGCCUGAUGCAGCCAUG
rnacentral:rRNA from 1 species